rnacentral:rRNA from 1 species
UGAACAGCGGAGGGAUCAUUA